AAAUUAUUAUAUGAUAUAUCGGGUGUAGAACUAGGCCAACACUUCUAUUGGCAAAUAGGAGGUUUCCAUAUUCAUGCCCAAGUACUCAUCACUUCUUGGGUCGUAAUUACUAUCUUGCUAGGUUCAGUUGUCAUAGCUGUUCGGAAUCCACAAACCAUCCCGAUCGAAAGUCAAUUUUUUUAAUAUGUCCUUGAGUUUAUUCGAGACUUGACCAAAACUCAGAUUGGAAAAGAAUAUGGUCCCUUGGUUCCCUUUAUUGGAACAAUGUUCCUUUUUAUUUUUGUUUCGAAUUGGUCGGGUGCUCUUUUACCUUGGAAAAUAGAGUUACCCUAUGGGGAAUUAGCAGCGCUCGCGAAUGAUAUAAAUACUACUAUUGCUUUAGCUUUACUCACGUCAGCAACAUAUUUUUAUGCUGGUCCUAGCAAAAAAAGAUUGAGCUAUUUCGAGCAAUAUAUUAAACCAACUCCAAUCCUUUUACGAAUUAACAUGCUAGAAGAUUUCACAAAACCAUUAUCGCUUAGCUUUCAACUUUUCGGGAAUAUAUUGGCGGAUGAAUUAGUCGUUGUUGUUCUUGUUUCUUUAGUCCCCUUAGUAAUCCCUAUGCCGGUCAUGUUUCUUGGAUUAUUUACAAGUGGUAUUCAAGCUCUUAUUUUUGUAACAUUAGUCACAACCUAUAUAUAUAUAGGUGAAUUCAUGGAGGGACUAGUUUUGGAAAUAGUAUUUUUUUGA
rnacentral:rRNA from 1 species